GGUCAAUUCACACCACUCUCACAAUUUCUAGCGUGGAAAAUCGAGCGGCAACCCAAACGAAAGAGGCAAUUUCCCGGGUCACCAGCCCACCCAAGUAACGGGGCGUCUGCAGCGAGUCGCUCGAUUCUGCCGAUGACGAGCGUUUGCAACGAGCCCACCCAAGCGACGGAGAAAAAGGAGAAGAACGAGUUGAAGUAUUGGAGGACGAAGUCCUUGUACAAUCCAGUAAUAGGUGUAGUACUGAAAAUGUAGUCACCAUGGAAGAUGACGUAUUAGGAGAAGAUGGUACGAUUGUGCCAGAGGGGGGAGGAGGUGGAACAAUUGUGCCAGAGGUGGGUAUGAAGUUCAAAGAUGAAAACGAGCUAUAUGAAUUUUAUAAGAACUAUGUAUAUAACGUUGGUUUUUCGGUUAGGAGACGGAAUUCGAGGAAGGGGGAGGAUGGAGUGGUGACAUAUGUUACGUUGACGUGUUGUCGUGAGGGCCGUAGAAGUACUAAUACAAGCAGUUCUUUGAAAUCGCAACCAACAAUUCAGACAGAUUGCAAAGUAAGGCUCACUGCUUCGGCAGAUAUUCAUGGAACAUGGAAAAUAUGCACAGUGUGUCUUGAACACAAUCAUAAAACAAGUCCAUCGAAGUCAAGGUUGUAUCGAUAUAAUUGAGAGUUGAAUGCAAAUGUCAAACGGAAGCUUGAAGUGAAUGAUAUGGCUGGAAUUCCUCUGCACAAGAGUUAUAACUCUGCAGUUGUCGAAGCGGGUGGGUAUGAGAAUAUGACCUGCAUGGAAAAAGACUGUCGAAAUUAUGUUGAACAAGUGAGGCGUUUGAGAUUAGGUGAUGGAGAUGCCGCAGCAAUACAAUCCUACUUUUCACAAAUGCAGGCACAAUGCUCGGGGUUUUACUUCUGUAUGGAUUUGGAUGAAGAGUCACGGCUUAAGAAUUUGCUUUGGGUAGAUAAUAGGUGUAGGCUGGCGUAGAAGGAGUUUGGGGAUGUAGUGACCUUCGAUACGACAUAUCUCACUAAUAAGUAUGACAUGCCUUUUGCUCCCUUUGUCGGAGUGAAUCAUCACGGCCAGUCAACACUUCUUGGAUGUGGUGUGCUAUCAAAUGAAGAUACGGACACAUUUGUGUGGCUCUUCAAGACAUGGUUGCAGUGCAUGCAUGGUCGACAUCCUAAUGGAAUUAUUACGGAUCAAGAUAAGGCUAUGCAAAAUGCAAUUGAGAUAGUCUUUCCCAAUACGAGGCACAGAUGGUGUUUAUGGCACAUCAUGAAGAAAUUACCUGAGAAGUUUGGGUACCACGUUGACAAAGGUUCAAUUUUUUCGUCCAUACAUGCAUUAAUGUACGAGAUGCGCAGCAUGUUGAAGAAUUUGAAGCAGGUUGGGGCAUUAUGCUGGAUACAUAUAAUUUACAAGAGAACGAAUGGUUGUCGGGGUUGUAUGAAAAUAGGGGUCGUUGGGUGCCAUGCUACUUGAAAACAACGUUUUGGGCAAGGAUGUGUCCACAACGCAACGGAGUGAGAGUAUGAAUGCGUUUUUUAAUAUGUAUGUGCAUUCGAAGACGUCGUUGAAGCAAUUUGUUGAGCAAUAUGAACGAGCAUUAAGAAAUAAAGUUGAAAAGGAAUUUCAGGCAGAUUUUAAAUCUUUUUCCCAAAUGGUGCCUUGUGCAACAAAAUAUGAAAUGGAAAAACAAUUUCAAGCAGUUUACACAAUCUCGAAGUUUCGGGAAGUUCAGGACGAGAUAACUGGGAAGGUAUAUUGCUAUGUGAUAUCUGCAGUGGAUAACAAAUCGGAGAGGAUGUAUGAGCUUGAGGAGGAUGUCAUUCACAGAGAGACGGUGAGGAAGAAAAAGUUUUAUGUCACAUUUCGUACAAGGGAGUGCGAUGUUAUUUGCAGUUGUCACUUAUUCGAGUUCCGUGGAAUUCUGUGCAGACAUGCCAUAUCAGCGUUGAUGCGUAACGGCAUCACAUCAUUACGGGAUAGGUACAUAUUGAGGAAAUGGAGACGAGAUGUUAGUAGAGCCCAUACGAGAGUCGCUGUGAACUAUGCCGGUCUACUUAGCACUCCUAUCCAGUUACGAUAUGGUACAAUGUGUGGCUUGUUCGCUACGUUGGCGAACAUGGCCACCGAUGACGAGCGUCGAUCUGCUGCGAUAAUUGAUUGGAUUCAACAGCAACCUAAAAACAUAGAGUCCACAAAGUCCGCCUGUGAAAGUAAUAGCAUUUCCCAGCCUACUUUACAUUUGGGGUCAGAUUCGAGAGCAUCGUAUUAGAAGGGCAGCGCCAACAUACAAGAUCCUAAAUGCACGAAAAGAAAGGGCGCCCCGAGGAAAUUACUUGUUAAAGGCUCAUUGGAGUUGAGCUCUAAGAAAACAAAGGCGAGGUCGAGAGGCCCGAAGAGCAAUCUUGAACACAGUGCACCGACCACUCAGACCUCGAGGCAUGCACAAUAUUUGACGUCGACGCCGUCCCCGUAUUCACAGGUUACAUGUGUAAGUAUUUGAAUAUAUUGCACAAUGUCUUGUACGUAUGUUUGAUAUUUAUUUAUUCCUAUCACGCAGGGCAAAGGGGAACGUCACGCACUACCACAGCAAUUGUAUUCAUCGCAAGUCUUUCCCAUGUCGUCUUCAAAUAUAUUAUCCAGUUGGCAAGGCACUAAUCAGUCGUACUACUAUGGUGGAACGCACAUGGGCGUCGUUGGGGAUUUAUUGACCCCCUCCGCAACGAGUGUUUUCCCUCGAUUUUUUCACACUCCCUUUCGACCACCUGCCCCUUCCAGUGAUAUAGCAGGUUAGAUGUCCAGUGGAGCCCAUUCCGAUCCUCAGGCUGCUAUUGAUGAAGGCCCUUCAAGUCAUGUUGAUAUACCAAGUUCUGGAAUGGCUUAUGAAGUGACACCCAAUCUGUGGGAUGCAUCUCAAUAGUCUUGGUCACUAUUUUCUUCCCACUUCAACAAGCUGCCAUUUUCCCUCAGUUUAUGUCUGAUUAUAAAUAUGACUCGGUUCCUUGAUGAGGGUGUUGUUAUUCUCGGCAUCAAUGUGAAUAUUUGUUGCCGUUGUUUUGUUGUAAUGUCUUGAUCCUUUUAUGUAUGGAAAUCGGAUGAAUUU